rnacentral:misc_RNA from 1 species
AACAAGGCGUACCUGCGGACCUGCGGAAGGAUCAUUACUGAGUCACGUGCUCAAACAACCCUUCUGUGGACCUGAAAUAAAACCGUUGCCUCGGCGGGCGGUCCCCCCCAAACCAACCCCACGUGGUGGGUUAGGGGAGACCAGACAGUCCGGUACGCUUAGGGCGUCCGGCGCCAGCCGCUGGCCCCAAACAAUUAAACUCUAGUAAUCUUUACCUUCUGAGUUUCAAUAUUUAAAAAU